rnacentral:lncRNA from 1 species
AGUAAUAAAGAUUCCCCUACCAGUACGGAGUGAAAUUGUGAUAACUCCUGGCACAACCAUUAAGACCCUCAUCUAUAGUGGACUGGAACAAAGCACAGGUAAAAGGAUAUCUUUGGAUUGUGCUUUUGAACAAUUUUGUGUUUGCCUUACUUUACCGUUUUGAUAACUUUGUUAACUAUUGCUAAUUUGUUAACUUCUCUUAUUUUAGAACUUAUAAAAAAGAAAAAAGUGCACAUUCAGUUUAAUGAGGUGUUAAUUCAAGGAAUGCUGUGAGAGUCAGAAGUUCUAAAUGCCAGUGUUUAAAAAGAUCCAUGUCACAGUGAUCUUGGGUAGGCUGGGACACACCAGCUCACUGACGGACCUGAAAAUGGAUUGCUGUGGGACUACAACCCUACUCAGGAUAUUCUGAGUUAUAAGUGGUAUGCUUGGUUGUUUUGUCUUACGUACAGGGAGGAGUCACCUAAGGUAAAAAAAAAUAUAUGUAUAAAUGCCUUGGAAGGGACAAAUGACUCAAUGUUUGGUCAGGGUUCUUGGAAGGUUUGACAAAAUGAGAUCAGAGAAUAGGAAUAUGGAUGGAUUUACAGGAGCGAGCAAAAUAUGUGUAUUUUUUGUGUUUUAUAUUAAUGCCCAGCAAACAUUACUCACUAUACAGGAAGCACUUAACAAUAAGCCAGGUAGACUAGUGUAUCUUUACUUGAAGGGAUCAUUACUUCUCAUACUUCCUGUUACUUGUAUGAUGAUUCCUUAAAAAGAAUCUAAAUUGUAAAAGGGAUAAAAUCUGUACAUUGGUUCAAGAGCUUGAGCUCCCCUUAACCAAAGCUAACUUCACUACUGAUAAUGCUGAAUGUACAAACAGUCAUCAGCACAGAACAAUGGAUAUGGCACUUGCUUUUGAUAUAAAUAAAUAAAUACAAAGUAUAUAAUGAUAUGGUAGGUGGAGUCCAAUAUUACAAAGCAAAAUUAAUCAGUAUGACAGAGAGGUGGAUGUCUUUUUGAAAAGGAUGAACAGAAUUUUUGAAUAAGAGGAGACUGGAGCAGAGACCUAAAA